rnacentral:lncRNA from 1 species
UAAAAAAAAUUACUUUUAUUUAUAUCAGAGGUUCGUUUUACAUUUUCAUUUCCUUGUGCAUGCACUGAGGUGAUGGCAUAGGGAAAGCACAGUAUAAAGGGAGAGAUGUCUGUGAGGCUCAUUCAAUAUGAAAUGGGCAGGAAAGGACCAUGUUCCAAUGUGGCUGACACACAGCAGUCAACCUUAUGACUAUUUUUUUUUCUUUCCAGAUAAAAUAACUUGGAAAAUGAAAAAAGAAGUAAGUCACCCACAAUCCUAUUUCAGAAAUAAUCAUUAGCAUUUAUAAUUAAUAAUAAAUUUUUUUCCUUUUCCUUUUUUUGGGGGGCAGGGUAAGUGAAUUGAACCCAGAGAUACCCUACCAUUGAACUAUAUCCCCAGCCCUUUUUAUUUUUUAUUUGAGACAGAAUUUGGCUAAGUUGCCCAGCCCGGAACUUGCCAUCCUUCUGCCUUGGCCUCCCAAGUAGCUUAGCCCAGCCAAUAAUAAAUUUCUGAUUCAGACGUAUUCUUUCAAUCUUAUUUUUCUCUACAUAAGGGUGAUACCAUUUAUAUCACUGGGAUAUUUUAUAAUUGCCUUGUUUGCUUGCUUGUUUUGGUACUGGGAGUAAAAUCCAGGGCCUUGUGCAAGCUGAGGCGAGUGCUCUGCUCCUGAGCUACAUCCCCAGAUCUUUUUAUUUUGAGAUAGGGUCUUACUAAGUUGCCCAGGCUGACCUGGGAUUUGUGGUCCUCCUGCCUCAGUUUCCAGAGUACCUGGGAUUGCCGAACCCAGUUGUAUCCCACUGUUUUCAGUUACACUAUUCCAUGUAAUUAAAAAAUAUAUAAAAACCUUUCUAAUAUGUACAUAAUAACAUUUGGUGGUAUGGCUAUAACCUUGUUUACCUAUCCAGACUCCCAUGGUUAGCCUAUAAGUCACUACCAAGUACUAUGGCUAAUUAAGAAGUAUCCCCCAAAGGAUUAUGUGUUGAAGGCCUGAUCCCCAAUGCAGCGAUGUUCAGAGGUGGGCCUUUGGGAAGUGACUGGAUUAUGAGGGCUCUGAUCUUAUCUGUGGAUUGAUCCAUUUAUGGCUUCAUAAUUUAAAUGGACUUUUGGGAGAUGAUGAAAACCAUAGGAGUUGGGACCUAAUUGAAGAGACUGGGUUCUUGGGGAUGUGGUUGUCCACAGGCCCCCUUCUUCUUUCUCUCUGCUUCCUGACUACCAUGAGGAGAACAGCUUUGCUCUGCCACACCCUUCUGCCAUGGUGAACUGCCUCAUCACAGGCCCAGGAACAGUGGAGCCAGCCAACCAUUGACUGAAACCAUAAGCCAAAAUAGAUCUUUCCUUUAAGUUGAUUUUUCAGGUGUUUUGUCACAGCAAUGAAAAACUAAUACACCAAGCUUUUGUAAUGGAAAAUAGUUCUAUGAUUAACAUUUUUGUACCCUAAUCUUUGUCUGAGUCUCUGAUUUUUAACUCAAGUGAAAUAGCUCACAUAUCCCAGGUUCUGGAUUCAUAUUACUGAAAUCCUUCCUAAGAGAGUGCUACUUUAGGGCCGGGGUUGUGGCUCAGUGGUAGCGUGCUCACCUAGCACGUGCAAGGCCCUGGGUUCCAUUCUCAGCACCACAUAAGUAAACAAAAUAAAGAUAUUGUGUCCAACUACAACUAAAAAAAUAAAUAUUAAAAGAAAA